rnacentral:lncRNA from 1 species
GGGGGACCUUGGAUAAUGACAGUAAUUGUCACAACUUCCAAUCUUCCUCAAGCUUUAGAGUUCAGGACUCUGGAUCCCCUCACCAAGGCCACGGCACCAGAGAGGAUGAAAAGGGCCGAUGUUGCAUCUCAGCUGCCCUCUUAGCUGACUAGCCGCACGGAAAAAAAUGAAACUAUGCAGUUUUCUUCUGAAGCAAAUUGCUUUAAGUAGAAAAGCUGCUUCCAGCAAAAUGACGAAGCAUUCCAAGUAUCACCGGUGUGCAUGGUGUGGUCCAAAGGGGGCCCUGAAGCUUGCCGAGCACUAACAAGCCAUCUCUGGUUAGCGAGCCGACAGGUG